rnacentral:rRNA from 1 species
UCAUGGCAAGCGUUGUCCGGCCUGAGCUUGAUCCUGGCUCAUGGCAAGCGUUGUCCGGCCUGAGCUUGAUCCUGGCUCAGGACGAACGCUGGCGGCGUGCCUAAUACAUGCAAGUCGAGCGAAUGGAGGGGAGCUUGCUCCCUGAAGUUAGCGGCGGACGGGUGAGUAACACGUGGGCAACCUGCCCUGUAGACUGGGAUAACAUCGAGAAAUCGGUGCUAAUACCGGAUAAUCAAAGGAAUCACAUGGUUCUUUUGUAAAAGAUGGCUUCGGCUAUCACUAUAGGAUGGGCCCGCGGUGCAUUAGCUAGUUGGUGGGGUAGAGGCUCACCAAGGCAACGAUGCAUAGCCGACCUGAGAGGGUGAUCGGCCACACUGGGACUGAGACACGGCCCAGACUCCUACGGGAGGCAGCAGUAGGGAAUCUUCCGCAAUGGACGAAAGUCUGACGGAGCAACGCCGCGUGAGUGAUGAAGGUUUUCGGAUCGUAAAGCUCUGUUGUUAGGGAAGAACAAGUACCGUUCGAAUAGGGCGGUACCUUGACGGUACCUAACCAGAAAGCCACGGCUAACUACGUGCCAGCAGCC